UAGUAACUGCGAGUGAAGCGGGAAAAGCUCAAAUUUAAAAUCUGGCGGUCUCCGGCCGUCCGAGUUGUAAUUUAGAGAAGUGUUACCCGUGCUGGACCGUGUACAAGUCUCCUGGAAUGGAGCGUCAUAGAGGGUGAGAAUCCNNUCUUUGACACGGACCCCCCAGUGCUUUGUGGUGCGCUCUCGAAGAGUCGAGUUGUUUGGGAAUGCAGCUCAAAAUGGGUGGUAAAUUCCAUCUAAAGCUAAAUAUUGGCGAGAGACCGAUAGCGAACAAGUACCGUGAGGGAAAGAUGAAAAGAACUUUGGAAAGAGAGUUAAACAGUACGUGAAAUUGUUGAAAGGGAAACGCUUGAAGUCAGUCGCGUUGGCCGGGGAUCAACCUUGCAUUCGUGCUUGGCGUACUUCCCGGUCCGACGGGUCAGCAUCAAUUUUGACCGCUGGAUAAAGGUCAGGGGAAUGUGGCAUCUUCGGAUGUGUUAUAGCCUCUGGUCGCAUACAGCGGUUGGGAUUGAGGAACUCAGCACGCCGCAAGGCCGGGUUUUUAACCACGUACGUGCUUAGGAUGCUGGC
rnacentral:rRNA from 1 species